rnacentral:rRNA from 1 species
AAUGAACGCUGGCGGCGUGGAUUAGGCAUGCAAGUCGAGCGCGAUGGUUUCUUUUGCUUGCAUUAGAAACCGGAAAGCGGCGAAAGGGAGAGUAACGCGUAGGAUACCUGCCCCCAGGUUCGGGAUAGCGGUGGGAAACCGCCGGUAAUACCGGAUAAUGUCCCCGGACCAAAGGUGUGAUUCCGCCUGGGGAUGGUCCUGCGUCCUAUUAGUUUGUUGGUGGGGUAACGGCCUACCAAGACUUUGAUGGGUAGCGGGCGUGAGAGCGUGGCCCGUCUCACUGGGACUGAGACACUGCCCAGACACCUACGGGUGGCUGCAGUCGAGAAUCUUCCGCAAUGGACGCAAGUCUGACGGAGCGACGCCGCGUGCGGGAUGAAGGCCUUCGGGUUGUAAACCGCUGUCAGUGGGGUGGAAAUGCAUUAGGGCUAUCCCUAAUGUUUGACCUAACCGCAGAGGAAGUCCGGGCUAAGUACG